rnacentral:rRNA from 1 species
CUACGGGUUGCACCAGUCGAGAAUCUUCGGCAAUGGACGCAAGUCCGACCGAGCGACGCCGCGUGCGGGAUGAAGGCCUUCGGGUUGUAAACCGCUGUCAGUGGGGAGGAAAUCCAGAUGAGUUAUCUUUUCUGGUUGACCUAUCUUCAGAGGAAGUGCGGGCUAAGUUCGUGCCAGCAGCCGCGGUAAGACGAACCGCACAAACGUUAUUCGGAAUCACUGGGCUUAAAGGGUGCGUAGGCGGUCCGGCAAGUUGGGUGUGAAAUCCCUCGGCUCAACCGAGGUAUGGCGCUCAAAACUGCCGGACUUGAGGGAGACAGAGGUGAGCGGAACUCAGGGUGGAGCGGUGAAAUGCGUUGAUAUCCUGAGGAACACCAGUUGCGAAGGCGGCUCACUGGGUCUCUUCUGACGCUGAGGCACGAAAGCUAGGGGAGCGAACGGGAUUAGAUACCCCAGUAGUC